rnacentral:tRNA from 1 species
GACAACUUGGCGGAGUGGUUAACGUGCUGCCCUGCUAAGGCAGUGUCCUUUGGACGCGCAAGUUCGAAUCUUGCAGUUGUCG